GACGAACGCUGGCGGCGUGCUUAACACAUUCAAGUCGAACGGAAAGGCCCUGCUUGCAGGGUACUCGAGUGGCGAACGGGUGAGUAACACGUGGGUGAUCUGCCCUGCACUUCGGGAUAAGCCUGGGAAACUGGGUCUAAUACCGGAUAGGAGCCAUUUUUAGUGUGAUGGUUGGAAAGUUUUUUCGGUGUAGGAUGAGCUCGCGGCCUAUCAGCUUGUUGGUGGGGUAAUGGCCUACCAAGGCGGCGACGGGUAGCCGGCCUGAGAGGGUGGACGGCCACAUUGGGACUGAGAUACGGCCCAGACUCCUACGGGAGGCAGCAGUGGGGAAUAUUGCACAAUGGGCGCAAGCCUGAUGCAGCGACGCCGCGUGGGGGAUGACGGCCUUCGGGUUGUAAACUCCUUUCGCUAGGGACGAAGCUUUUUGUGACGGUACCUAGAUAAGAAGCACCGGCUAACUACGUG
rnacentral:rRNA from 1 species